rnacentral:rRNA from 1 species
CCUACGGGAGGCAACAGUGAGGAAUAUUGGUCAAUGGGCGUAAGCCUGAACCAGCCAAGUCGCGUGAGGGAUGAAGGUUCUAUGGAUCGUAAACCUCUUUUAUAAGGGAAUAAAGUGCGGGACGUGUCCCGUUUUGUAUGUACCUUAUGAAUAAGGAUCGGCUAACUCCGUGCCAGCCGCCGCGGUAAUACGGAGGAUCCGAGCGUUAUCCGGAUUUAUUGGGGUUAAAGGGUGCGUAGGGGGGCUUUUAAGUCAGCGGUGAAAGUCUGUGGCUCAACCAUAGAAUUGCCGUUGAAACUGGGAGGCUUGAGUAUGUUUGAGGCAGGCGGAAUGCGUGGUGUAGCGGUGAAAUGCUUAGAUAUCACGCAGAACCCCGAUUGCGAAGGCAGCCUGCCAAGCCAUGACUGACGCUGAUGCACGAAAGCGUGGGGAUCAAACAGGAUUAGAUACCCGUGUAGUC